UACGAGGGGGGCGAGCGUUACUCGGAAUUACUAGGCGUAAAGGGCAGGUAGGUGGUCUGAUAAGUCUGUUGUGAAAGCUCCCGGCUUAACUGGGAGAGGUCAACAGAAACUAUCAGGCUUGAGUAUAGGAGAGGGUACUGGAAUUCCCGGUGUAGCGGUGAAAUGCGCAGAUAUCGGGAGGAACACCAAUGGCGAAAGCAGGUACCUGGACUAUUACUGACACUCAGCUGCGAAAGCUAGGGGAGCAAACAGG
rnacentral:rRNA from 1 species